AACGAACGCUGGCGGCAUGCCUAACACAUGCAAGUCGAACGAAGGCUUCGGCCUUAGUGGCGCACGGGUGCGUAACGCGUGGGAAUCUGCCCUUGGGUUCGGAAUAACUCAGAGAAAUUUGAGCUAAUACCGGAUGAUGACGUAAGUCCAAAGAUUUAUCGCCCAAGGAUGAGCCCGCGUAAGAUUAGCUAGUUGUGGGGUAAAGCCUACCAAGGCGACGAUCUUUAGCUGGUCUGAGAGGAUGAUCAGCCACACUGGGACUGAGACAUGGCCCAGACUCCUACGGGAGGCAGCAGUGGGGAAUAUUGGACAAUGGCGAAAGCCUGAUCCGGCAAUGCCGCGUGAGUGAUGAAGGCC
rnacentral:rRNA from 1 species